GACGGGGCCCGCACAAGCGGUGGAGUAUGUGGUUAAUUCGAUGCAACGCGAAGAACCUUACCUGGUCUUGACAUCCCGGAGACCCUUAGGAAACUAGGGGGUGCUUCCAUCUGGAAGAAUCUGGAGACAGGUGCUGCAUGGCUGUCGUCAGCUCGUGUCGUGAGAUGUUGGGUUAAGUCCCGCAACGAGCGCAACCCUUGCCUUUAGUUGCCAGCAGUUCGGCUGGGCACUCUAAAGGGACUGCCGGUGUUAAACCGGAGGAAGGUGGGGAUGACGUCAAGUCCUCAUGGCCUUUAUGACCAGGGCUACACACGUACUACAAUGGCCGAUACAAAGGGCAGCGACACUGCGAGGUGAAGCCAAUCCCGUAAAAUCGGUCUCAGUCCGGAUUGGAGUCUGCAACUCGACUCCAUGAAGUUGGAAUCGCUAGUAAUCGUGGAUCAGCAUGCCACGGUGAAUACGUUCCCGGGCCUU
rnacentral:rRNA from 1 species